UUGUGAACUGCAGCCUUGCAGGUGCCCUUCAUGUAUAUAUUGUUAUGUUUUGACAGAAUGAAAUGAAGAAAAAACUAUCACACUCAUAAUUAUUUGCUGGAUAUUACUUUUUGGUUACGGAAUUUAUAUAAAAUAACAUUAUCUGAUUGAGAAGUGCCUGGAUACAAGGCUAGUAUUGUUAACAUCAUCUGAUACAAUCAACUGGAACAAAGCUGAAAUGGCUGCCUGACCUGACUUAAAAAUCGGAUUGCAAUACAUCAGCCUAGAAGAUUAUUAGUAUUGAGAUGGACAAAAUGAAACAUGAGCCUACCAAAGCUGACAGAUUGCACAAGAAACACAUAAAUGCAGAUUGGAGGAUUCAUUUUCUGGAAAAUAGAAAAGGGCAUGUUACAUACUGUUAUCAUUGCCAUGACAGAAACCAUAUUGAGGAGCUGGUCCACCUGUAGGAAGAAUUGCGCUAUUGGUUGGAGCAGCACUAUUCCCCAGCCAUACACUAGCACUUAGUUUGUCAUAGGGAGCAUUUCUGAGCAGUUAUGGAGACCACUAACUAUGCAGUUGUUGCAGUGAAACUUGCACCAGUGUGUUUUCUGUGGAAAUAAAGAGAUAGUGUCCAGCAAUGAAGACCCAUCUCAAGAUCUGACCUUGUAAGGCCAAUAUGAAAUAACUGUGUGGAAAAAUGGGAAAAACCUGCAGUCAGGAAUGCACGGAAAUCAUCAAAAGAACAGUGUUAAAUUAAUCUUGAAUAACUUGACAUUAAUUUUGUUUGACAUAUUUAUUCAUGGUGCAGUGAAAACAUGUUUUUUUCCCUCAUGGUUAUUUAAAUUUAGAAUUGAUAGGAGGGAACAUCAUUAUGUAGUUUCAUGUUCAUAGUCAGAUCAAAACCCAUGUACAUGUAUAAAUGAGCAUUCGAAAAUAUCAAAAUGGAACUUGUUGUAUGUAGUGUAAGUUAAUUAACAUAAUAAACAAAAAUAUUUAAUAAA